CAGUAGCCGCGGUAAAACGGAGGGCGCGAGCGUUACCCGGAUUUACUGGGCGUAAAGGGCGUGUAGGCGGCCUGGGGCGUCCCAUGCGAAAGGCCACGGCUCAACCGUGGAGGAGCGUGGGAUACGCUCAGGCUAGAGGGUGGGAGAGGGUGGUGGAAUUCCCGGAGUAGCGGUGAAAUGCGCAGAUACCGGGAGGAACGCCGAUGGCGAAGGCAGCCACCUGGUCCACUUCUGACGCUGAGGCGCGAAAGCGUGGGGAGCAAACCGGAUUAGAUACCCGCGUAGUCCCUGUCUCUUAUAC
rnacentral:rRNA from 1 species